rnacentral:lncRNA from 10 species
GAAGAAGGUGCCUUGCUGCUGCCAUUAUUGUAAGUUUCCUGAGGCCUCCUCAGCCAUGCUGAACUGAUGUGGAGCUGAGAAGCCCCGAUUUCCACUUUCUGACUCCUAGACUCAGCUGAUUUGAACCCCUCAGUGGAAUAGCAGCAGCCCAUCCGCAGCUUUCCUAGAAGUUCCUGACCUAGUAGCCUGAAAUGCAUUCUAAUCAAGUGAGACAAGGCUGUGGCUGGAAGACUCCCCGUGAGCCAGGGAAUUGAAGCUGCCUCUGCAAGCUGAAUUCGUAAUUGCCAUGAGAAGGCAACAGCAUCAAAUCCUCCAGCGUGCCAAUUCUUUAGGCGACGGACGAAUUGACAACUCCUCACCUUACAUAGGCACCAACUGACUGUUGGUCUUUGCCCAGCUCUGGGUUUGUACCUGCCCUUCUGCCCACAGCGAUGGUGUCAUUUUGACCUUGAUCUGGGAAUUGCUGUUCUUGUCAGCCUGUUGGCUCCCUCUGUUGAGGGAGACAGCUCUUUUGAGUGUCCAGGAGAUGGAAGUACAAAGGUGGACAAAUAUCUACACUCGGAAGGCAGACAAUAGUACCCCCCAAUUUCUGUUUGCACAUAGGUGAGAGCAAGAAAAAAAGGAGAAUACAUUGUAAAGAGUUUUAGUUCAGACACAAUAUGAAAGCACUUGAUUCUAAUGUUAUUUUUUUAAAAUUCAACUAAACACAUGUAGGACAAAUAUAGAACCAUAUCCUAGAGUUUGUUUUUUACUUUUUCUUUUUGAGAAGGAGUCUUGCUCAGUCGCCCGGGCUGGAGUGCAGUGGCGCGAUCUCAGCUCACUGCAAGCUCCUCCUCCCGGGUUCACGCCAUUCUCCGGCCUCAGCCUCCCAAGUAGCUGGGACUACAGGCGCCCGCCUCCACACCCGGCUAAUUUUUUUCUAUUUUUCGGUCUCCUGACCUUGUGAUCGGCCCGCCUCGGCCUCCCAAAGUGCUGGGAUUACAGGCGUGAGCCACCACACCCGGCCUAGCGUGGUUUUUAAAGAGCUUUAUUAUCCUGCUUUUUAAAACUUUAAUACAUUUUCCAAAUUUCUACAAAGAGAACAUAUCUCAACAAAAUUAGGAAAAAAUGCAAAUGAGAAAAGACGGAUACUCAAGUGCAGCUCAGUUCAGUCCAGUGCCAGCUGGCCAGGCCUUUUGCGGCAGGCAGCCUAUAAAGAUGCUCUAUAAAGAUACUGCACGCCUGGGUCUGGAUUCUCCAGGGAGCAGGUGGCUCAGAGAGAGCAUCAGUGACAAGAGCAAGGCAGAUGGUGGGAAGGCGAGGGUGUGGGUGCCACACGGUGGCAUCUCACACACUUCUGUUCAUUCCAUAAACAGGUUUAGUAAGCACCAUUUCCUGGGGGAAAGUCUACUUCUGGAAAGAAUUGUCUAUUGGAAAUGAAGAUCUUUCCCUGCUGCAGAAUAGGCUUAAAGAAACAAGUGCAGGCAGACAAGAGGGUCCUCCAGACCAUGUGCCUAGCCAAAACUUUUUUUGUUGUUAAUAGAGACAGGUUCUCACUAUGUUGCCCAGGCUAGUCCCAAACUCCUGGGCUCAAGUGAUCCUCCUGCCUUGGCCUUGCAAAGUGCUGGGAUUACAGGUGUGAGCCACCAUAGCUGUCCUGGCCUAAACUUAAUAGUAAAUCUACAUCUGUAUUCCGGAAAACCUAUCAGAAUAACCUAAAGUGUUAGAGCUUGUGGAAAAAGGCAAUGUCAAAAAAAGAAAAAAAAUGAAAUAAUAUAAAAUAAAGAAUAACUCUAAGUGAAGUAAAAAUAUUAGUAAUGAUAAUAAUAUGUAAUGAAUGCUAAUUCUAUACUGGGCAGAGAGUAUUAUUUUAUUUAACCUUUACACCAACCUUUUGAAGUAAAUGCCAUUGUUACUAUGUCCGUGUUACAGAUGAAGAAACUGAGGAUUAAUGAGCUUGAGUCACUUGCUCAAGGCCCCAUAAUUGCUAAGGAUCAAAGCCCUGUCUGCUCUGGGUGGGACUCCAAAGUCAGUGCUUUUGUUCAAAAUAUUACUCUGUUCUUCUGAGAGUAAGAGAGGCUUGGGCCAGGCAUGGUGGCUCACGCCUGUAAUCCCAGCACUUUGGGAGGCUGAGAUGGGAGGGUCACUUGAGCCCAGGAGUUCAAAACCAGCCUGGGCAACAUAGUGAGAGCCCCCAUCUCUAAAAAAUUAAAAUAAAAAAUAAAAUUUUGGCCA